AUUAGCAAAAAGCAAUAGCUAUGAGUCACGAAUGGAAGUGAGCUAAGCAGGUAUGUUUUACGUACAGAAUACGUUGUAUAGUAUUUAGAAAAUAUAUGCUUAGGAGUGAUAGGCCUUCCAAACUUUCUGAUAACUUGAUUCAUAUGAAAAGUAUUAAGUACAUAAAUAUAUUUAAAAAGUUAAGCUUUUAAAUAUUUAUUAAAAACAUUAUUUAAUUAAACAUAGUAUAAUAGCUAGUUAUUAUUAAACUUAAUAUUAUAACAUGAGUUUUUAUAGUAAAUAAUAUGACAGUUAAGGUUAUACUUACUAUUUGAAAAUGUUAAUAUUAGUAGUAUAGGUAAAUGUAUUAAAGGAACUCGGCAAAUAACUUCUCAACUGUUUAUCAAAAACAUAGCUAUAUGAAUUAAUAUAUAGUUAUUUCUGCUCCAUGAUUAUUAAAUAGCCGCAGUACCCUGACUGUGCAAAGGUAGCAUAAUCAGUUGACUCUUAAUUAGGGUCUGGUAUGAAAGAAAAUAUGGGUAGUAACUGUCUUAAUAUAUUUAUUUGAAAUUAAUAAGCAAGUGCAAAUACUUGCAUACAUAAAAAAGACGAGAAGACCCUAGAAACUUGAAAUGAGUUUUGUUGGGGCGACAGAAUUACACUUAACUAAUUUUAUGGGACAUGACACGAAGUUGAAAGAAUAAGUUACUCUAGGGAUAACAGCAUAAUUUAAAUAGUUUGUGACCUCGAUGUUGGACUAGGUAUUAUACCUUUAAGGUAAAGUUAUAAAAUGCUCUGUUCGAGCAUAUACACCUACAUGAUCUGAGUUCAGACCGG
rnacentral:rRNA from 1 species